AAUAGAUUGAAUUUUAAUCAAAUUUGUCGAAAUUUCUCACAAAAUCGUAAUCGUAAAAUAAAUCUGAUUUUUACAUCUAUACGCUUGAUACGUUGAUAUCAUCACUUCCAUACGUUGUUAAUGAUAACGUCGCCAUUAUCGAUGCGUUAUUAUAUGAUAAUAUACAGGAUAUGGCGAUAAGGACAGUAGACAAAUCCGGUAUUUGUGAAGAAACGCCGGUACGAAUGGCGGACUUGGACAGUUGGAUGGCAGCAGUUCGAUGCUAAUGAAAUUCCGCCGGUCUCUCUCAUAGAUUGUGCAGUCGGUCCAGGUGACUGCUAGUUUGGCAUGAGUGUGAAUCCACAGAAUGCACACUAUGGGAUUAUCCUGGAUUCGGAUAAAUCUGGGGCAGAUUUAAUAAAAGAAGGUCGAGGAAAUGACAAGAAGUUACAUUUUUUAAUUAGAAAAGAUGGUUGGAACGAAGACACGAUUCAUUCAGCUUCAUAAAUGUCCACAUUAAUUGGGAUAAUUUUGCUGUCAACGGAGGAGAUAAUUAAUGUCAGGCCAAAAUACUUG